GAUGAACGCUGGCGGCGUGCCUAACACAUGCAAGUCGAGCGGAGAUCUUGAAGCUUGCUUUAAAAUCUUAGCGGCGGACGGGUGAGUAACGCGUGGGUAACCUGCCCUAUACACACGGAUAACAUAUCGAAAGGUAUGCUAAUACGAGAUAAUACAUUUUGAGGGCAUCCUCAAAAUGUCAAAGAUUUUAUCGGUGUAGGAUGGACCCGCGUCCCAUUAGCUAGUUGGUGAGAUAAAAGCUCACCAAGGCGACGAUGGGUAGCCGACCUGAGAGGGUGAUCGGCCACACUGGAACUGAGACACGGUCCAG
rnacentral:rRNA from 1 species